GACUUGCCAGAAUAUUGAAAGACCACGUUUCUGUUGGGUGCUAGUAUAGACUGAAUGAUAAUGCCUUCUUUUAACUCCAUGGUAGAAAACACAUUCUUCUCAUUAAAGGAAAAGGUACCAACAGUUCCAAAGUUAUUUCUACAAAAGAGACCACGACAUGAAGUGGAAGGUGAUGCAUUAAAUGUGCAGGGAAAACAACUCAUCUCCGCCUUCUCCAGUUGCAUCUCUCCAUAAAGAGUCUGAAAUUAGUGAAACUGCAUGACAGUUGCAUCUUGGAACAGCAAAGGUAAGCCUCGAGAUACAGUAAUUUCAUAUGCAUGCCUGCUUCUCAAUGAGCUGCAAGCAGAGGACAAAAGAAAUAAUUUCAUUCCCUACCCCCACAUGUGCAAAAAUGCAGCCAGGAAAAAAAAAAAAAUUCAGGCCUUUUCACUUCACUAGACAAGACUCAACAAAUAAAGCCAGAUCUGCUCUGCCAGACUUCUGGCUAUUUGAAUAGGCAAGCAGUAGCUAAGCUUGAAAAAGCAAGUACCACCACACGAUCUGAACUGGGCUUUCACUGCUGCUCUCGGUAGAAACGGCUGAAGAAAGAUCCAGUGCACAAAUGCACAGACAAUGGGUGGGAAAAACGGGUGCUGUUUCUGCCUGUGUGCUUUACCAACAAUACAGCUAUACCACAGAAAGAAAGCGAGAAGAAAAUAAAGAGAAGGGGAUUGAAGAGAGUCUGGAUGAAAACAAUGGAUUAUUUAAUAGAGCACAGAUUUUACUGAUGCCAAGUGCUUACAUAUAAGGGCAGAUUUCUACAUAGAAUACUAUGCUUCCAUAUAUCAUCUCUGAUACCUUCUCUGCUGAAUUUUGGUGCAGGUUAUUAAUUUGCUUGCUGUGAUGUUGAUAAAAAUAUUUGAAUUCAUUUUUUACAAUGGCAUUUACUUAAAAACAACUUCGGCAAUUUUAAAAUCUACAGAGGGUAUUUCAGCUGUUGGUGGACCUUCAUUCUGACUAGUCCAUUGAAAAAUACUAAAAUAUGUGAUCAAACCCUGAAUCUUAUCAUUCUAGCUUGAAAUCAAACUGCAUUUAUGGUGAAAGAAGGAUGCCAUUCAAGUAAUGCCUGGAGCUAGCUUUGUCCUAAAGGACCUAUAUUAACAAUACCAACACAAAAACUGGUUAUCAAAAAAGAAGACGAUAUCAAGGCGGAGUAGUAUUUGCACUUUUUUUUUUUUCAAUCUAGAAUGCUUUUGUAAUACGAGCAAACCCAAUCCCUAUACCUCUCUUUUUUUGAUUUCUGAGACCUCCAACUUCUCCUGAGUGAAGUGACACAGCUUAUAGUACAAGGAGCAGAUAUUUUCCUCUCUUAACAAUGUGAACUACAUAAAUACAUGCAAAAGAAUACAUGAUGGCCAAUUUGGCCUAGUACUGUACCCUGUAUUUGUUAUGCUUUGAUGAGGACUGAGGUAGUAAGAUACUGCUCAAGUGUUCAGAUAUGGACAGAAAUUGGUGCACCCAUGUUUCAGUGAGAUCAGGGAAAAUCAGUUUCUCAGGAUUACAGUUUUAUUAUACACAAAAUUUGAUCAAUUAUUAAAAACACACACAAAAAAGGGAAGAGAAUGAAAACCGAAAUAUACCAUUGACAGCUGAAGCCUUGGAAACCAAAUAAAAAUAAAGGAAAAAAACCGGGGACAAUUUACAAUUUAUUGCAAUCUUGUUAACUUCUACUGUUUAUCUGCACGUUAAAAACAAACCAUUUACUAAAGAUUUAGUUAUAAUUAUAUAAAUGAUAUAAAAGACAAAUAACUAGCUAACUAGAAUCCUUCUUAAGUGUGGAACCAGAAAGAAAAAAGAUACCCACCUUCCUAUCAUAUUCAAAAUAUGAACUGAGAUGUUCAAAAUCUGAACUCUGGCCACAGAGUUUGUAUCAGAGCGCAAAGAGGGAUUACAUUUAACUGCUCCACUACAAAGCCAAAUUAUUAUGAGAGAACCAAGAGUUCAGUUUUGGUUUCUGUGAAGGACAAGAGGGAGCUGCACCAGCAGCAGCACAGCCUGCAGGUACAAGGAAGCGAUGGUUUCCCUCCAGUUAGCACUUGGAAGCCCACAGCCGGCGUCCAGCUUUGGGCUCCACAGCAGAAGACAAGAGUGGACACACCUGAGCAAGUAGGUCACAAGGUCACUGAGCCGGCCAGAGGCUGGAGAGGUGGCACACGAGGACAGGCUGAGACAAAGCAGGGCUUGCUCAGCCUGGGGAAGGAGGGUCAGGGGGUAUCCUCCUGCUGUCUGCCACUCCUUAACAUGAGGGCUCAAAGGUGAAGAGGCCUGGCUAAUCUUGGAGAUGGCUCCAGGCCAGGAUGAGAGGCAUGAAAUGGGAAAAGACAACUUGAUAAAAGCUGUUUUGAUCUUCCUUUUAAACCACGUGGGUCAAACUACGACAUGGCCAUGGAGACUUGUGCAAUGUCCAUCCUUCAAAAUACUCCAAAAAUUUAACUGGGACAAGGCCCUGACAUCCUCCUGUCACUGUACAUGCUUUGAGGAGGAGAUAGGACUAGAAAAAUCUCUGGUGGCCCUUUCCAACUUGCGUGACUCCAUGAAUUUCACUUUCAUAUAAA